rnacentral:rRNA from 1 species
UACGGAGGGGGCGAGCGUUAUUCGGAAUUAUUGGGCGUAAAGGGCGCGUAGGCGGCUGUACAAGUCAAAGGUGAAAUCCCUCGGCUCAACUGAGGAACUGCCUUUGAAACUGUACGGCUUGAGGCCGGGAGGGGGUAGCGGAAUUCCCAAUGUAGCGGUGAAAUGCGUAGAUAUUGGGAGGAACACCAGUGGCGAAGGCGACUUUCUGGACUGUACCUGACGCUGAGGCGCGAAAGCGUGGGUAGCGAACGGG